UGCAGUCGAGCGAGAUCUUCGGAUCUAGCGGCGGACGGGUGAGUAACGCGUGGGAAUGUGCCCUUCUCUACGGAAUAUCCUCGGGAAACUGAGAGCAAUGCCGUAUACGCCCUUCGGGGGAAAGAUUUAUCGGAGAAGGAUCAGCCCGCGUUGGAUUAGAUAGUUGGUGGGGUAAUGGCCUACCAAGUCGACGAUCCAUAGCUGGUUUUAGAGGAUGAUCAGCCACACUGGGACUGAGACACGGCCCAGACUCCUACGGGAGGCAGCAGUGGGGAAUCUUAGACAAUGGGCGCAAGCCUGAUCUAGCCAUGCCGCGUGAGUGAUGAAGGCCUUAGGGUCGUAAAGCUCUUUCGCCAGGGAUGAUAAUGACAGUACCUGGUAAAGAAACCCCGGCUAACUCCGUGCCAGCAGCCGCGGUAAUACGGAGGGGGUUAGCGUUGUUCGGAAUUACUGGGCGUAAAGCGCGCGUAGGCGGACUAUUAAGUCAGGGGUGAAAUCCCGGGGCUCAACCCCGGAACUGCCCUUGAUACUGGUAGUCUUGAGUUCGAGAGAGGUGAGUGGAAUUCCGAGUGUAGAGGUGAAAUUCGUAGAUAUUCGGAGGAACACCAGUGGCGAAGGCGGCUCACUGGCUCGAUACUGACGCUGAGGUGCGAAAGUGUGGGGAGCAAACAGGAUUAGAUACCCUGGUAGUCCACACCGUAAACGAUGAAUGCCAGUCGUCGGCAAGCAUGCUUGUCGGUGACACACCUAACGGAUUAAGCAUUCCGCCUG
rnacentral:rRNA from 1 species